rnacentral:lncRNA from 1 species
CUUCCAAAUACCUUUCCCUUAGAGUCAAAAUGUUUGUAUCCAACUCCAAAAUGUACAAAGUCCAGACCUACACAAAUGAAUACUUAUUCAUCCCAUAAACAAAGGUCAAAAACUCUGUGAUUAAUACUGGGAUAUUUUGAAUAUUUGUUUUGUCCUUGUUUUAGUUGCUUAAAAUCAGUGGAUAGUGAAACAGCUGAAUAAUAAACUUUUACCUACUCAACAGGUUUCUAGUUGGAUUUUCCAGCUUUUUGAUUAAUUAAAUAUUACUUCAAGCCUUGAGAAGGGAGUCAUUCCUGCAUUUCACAAGUAUUUCUUGUAACUUAUAUUUACAAUUAAAGAGGAAAUUUGACACAUUUAUGCCUGAGGAAACCUGAUAUUUAAAGAACACAUCACUUUUUUCCCCUUUCAAUUCAUCACAUUAAUUCAAUUAGAACAUUUAAUUUAGGUAUCUGAUUGAUGUCAAUGUAUAUUAAGAUAUUAGAAUAAAAUUUGGAAAGCUUGAUGAUCCUUUGGGGUUUUUUGGAAUAAUGCAUGUGUACAUGUUCCAUACAUAAUAGCAUAGCAAUUUAACUUUCCUCUGUGAUCACAUGCUUUAUUUGAAGGUGAUUAUAAACUCAUUAAGCAUGAAGAAACUCUUUUCUUUGUAUUGGUUUUCAACUUGUUCAUCAUCUAUCAUUUGAAGAGUCCUAACGAUUUUUAUAACCACACAACUAAUCCAAUGUAAUAAAUUUUGAGUCCUAGGGGGACAGAAUUAUGUUAACAAUCAUCUUACACUCAGCUAUUCUUUGUCUUUCGCCCUUAGAUUCCAUUCACGCUCAUGCUCCUCUGAUUCCUGCCACAAAAAUCUGGCAAAUCCUGCAAACCCUGCUCCCAGAUACAUUCUUACACAGGAGUACACAGGGAUUUGGCUCUUCUUAUAACCGAAACACAGAAGAGAUCAGAUUAAAAGGAAAAGAUGCCCACCCUAUUAUGGAUAUAAAGCAGGAAGAAGGCAUAAACAUGCCCCUGCCUUCCUCGUUCUCAUACUGCCACCUAACACAGGGACACUUUGCCAUGCUUUGGCUACUCUGA